UGUACUCCCCCUUUUGAAAAACCAGGGGGCUAAUACCGCAUAACAACUUGGACCGCAUGGUCCGAGCUUGAAAGAUGGCUUCGGCUAUCACUUUUGGAUGGUCCCGCGGCGUAUUAGCUAGAUGGUGGGGUAACGGCUCACCAUGGCAAUGAUACGUAGCCGACCUGAGAGGGUAAUCGGCCACAUUGGGACUGAGACACGGCCCAAACUCCUACGGGAGGCAGCAGUAGGGAAUCUUCCACAAUGGACGAAAGUCUGAUGGAGCAACGCCGCGUGAGUGAAGAAGGGUUUCGGCUCGUAAAACUCUGUUGUUAAAGAAGAACAUAUCUGAGAGUAACUGUUCAGGUAUUGACGGUAUUUAACCAGAAAGCCACGGCUAACUACGUGCCAGCAGCCGCGGUAAUACGUAGGUGGCAAGCGUUGUCCGGAUUUAUUGGGCGUAAAGCGAGCGCAGGCGGUUUUUUAAGUCUGAUGUGAAAGCCUUCGGCUCAACCGAAGA
rnacentral:rRNA from 2 species